rnacentral:rRNA from 1 species
AAUAGAUACCCGGGUAGUCCACGCCGUAAACGAUGAAUACUAGGUGUCGGAGGGUACCACCUUCGGUGCCGCAGCAAACGCAAUAAGUAUUCCGCCUGGGGAGUACGGUCGCAAGAUUAAAACUCAAAGGAAUUGACGGGGACCCGCACAAGCAGCGGAGCAUGUGGUUUAAUUCGAAGCAACGCGAAGAACCUUACCUAGACUUGACAUCUCCUGAAUUACUCGUAAUGGAGGAAGCCCUUCGGGGCAGGAAGACAGGUGGUGCAUGGUUGUCGUCAGCUCGUGUCGUGAGAUGUUGGGUUAAGUCCCGCAACGAGCGCAACCCUUGUUGUUAGUUGCUACCAUUAAGUUGAGCACUCUAACGAGACUGCCGCGGUUAACGCGGAGGAAGGUGGGGAUGACGUCAAAUCAUCAUGCCCCUUAUGUCUAGGGCUACACACGUGCUACAAUGGCCGGUACAGAAAGAUGCAAACCCGUGAGGGGGAGCUAAACUCAAAAGCCGGUCCCAGUUCGGAUUGUAGGCUGAAACUCGCCUACAUGAAGUUGGAGUU